AGAGUCAUAAUGACCAUACUGAAAAGCAGUUAAGCCCAUUUUCAUGGCAGCAUUACACAGAAUUAAAAACGGGACGAUUUGGUCCUAUUUUGCGACCACAGCUGCCAUGAACUAAUGCACAAGCAAACUGGACGGGACUCCUCGAGAUCACAUGGCUAUCUACCCGUUGGGAGGGGACACCAUGAGAGCUGGCCGGGGCCUUGGCGGGCCAGACUUCAGAGACUCACUGUUGUCCUGGCUGGGGACAAGAGCAUGGAGAAAGAACCUUUCUGAGGCAGAGAUACAAAGUGAAGGCUGAACUCUGCAGCUGAAGAAAGAACACUGAGAAAAACCCUCCGAUACCCCAGCCAUGAUCAUAAACAUAAGCUCCUGCUUGAAGAACUUCAACAUUUCUUGUAGACUACAUCUGUGGGCAAUAAAGUCUUGGUUUUCAUUUUCUGAAUUCUUGCCCCUUGGUUAGGGGGAAGGAUUUUGGUUUUUGUUUUUCUGUUUCCUUCUCUCAGUUUUAUCAGUACUGCAAGGAAAACGAGGUUUUGUCCUAUCUCCUGCAGAUUAAGGCUUUUGUUCCAGAAGGGAUGAGGAGGGCUGGGAGUGGAUGGUUUCAGGUCCCUCCACAGUGGCUAUUUUUCCCUUCCCCAGACCUGCCCCACGGAGGGAUUCUUUCUCAGGACUUUGGCCAGUCUUUUCUGUGAGGGCCUGAUGGGCUUCAUGGAGAAAAGCCUGAAAAACAGAUGCAGACUCCCCUAUUUAUGUGGUCCCCAGGGGCUCACACUCCCUUACCAGCCCACACUCAUUCUCCACUAAUUCUUUACCUACUCCAGGUGACUUCUGUUGGCCCCAUCUCCCCCCCAGGGAGGCGAGGGCUCGUGGCCUGCACUUCUCCACACGCCCGACUGAUCCUUCGAUUUCAGCCUACUUGCUUGCCCUGUAACCUCAGCUCUCGGAUGGGUCCAAAAAAAGGAGUAAAC